rnacentral:rRNA from 1 species
CAGNCNUAACACAUGCAAGUCGAACGAAGGCCCGGUGCUUGCACCGGUCACCUUAGUGGCAGACGGGAGAGUAACGCGUGGGAAUUUACCCGAUUGUAUGGAAUAACUGCGGGAAACUGCAGCUAAUACCGUAUAAGCCCUCCGGGGGAAAGAUUUAUCGCUAUCGGAUAAGCCCGCGUCGGAUUAGCUAGUUGGUAGGGUAAAAGCCUACCAAGGCAACAAUCCGUAGCUGGUCUGAGAGGACGAUCAGCCUCACUGGGACUGAGACACGGCCCAGACUCCUACGGGAGGCAGCAGUGGGGAAUAUUGGACAAUGGGCGCAAGCCUGAUCCAGCCAUGCCGCGUGAGUGAAGAAGGCCCUAGGGUUGUAAAGCUCUUUCAGCGGGGAAGAUGAUGACGGUACCCGCAGAAGAAGCCCCGGCCAACUCCGUGCCAGCAGCCGCGGUAAUACGGAGGGGGCUAGCGUUGUUCGGAAUUACUGGGCGUAAAGCGCACGUAGGUGGUUGGCGUAGUCAGGCGUGAAAUCCCGAGGCUCAACCUCGGAACUGCGCUUGAUACUGGCCGACUAGAGGUCGGGAGAGGGUAGUGGAAUUCCCAGUGUAGAGGUGAAAUUCGUAGAUAUUGGGAAGAACACCAGUGGCGAAGGCGGCUACCUGGACCGAUUCUGACACUGAGGUGCGAAAGCGUGGGGAGCGAACAGGAUUAGAUACCCUGGUAGUCCACGCCGUAAACGAUGAGUGCUAGAUGUCGGGGGACAUAGUCCUUCGGUAUCGCAGCUAACGCAUUAAGCACU